rnacentral:tRNA from 1 species
GGUCACAUAGCUCAGCGGUAGAGCACUACGUUGACAUCGUAGGGGUCACAGGUUCGAUCCCUGUUGUGACCACCA